CAAUAGCGUAUAUUAAAGUUGUUGCAGUUAAAAAGCUCGUAGUUGGAUUUCUGGUGGGAGCGAUCGGUCUGGCGCUUAGCGCGAGUACUUGCAUCGUCUCCGGCCAUCCUUGGGGAGAGUCUGUCUGGCAUUAGGUUGUCGGGCAGAGGAUCCUCAUCGUUUACUGUGAAAAAAUUAGAGUGUUCAAAGCAGGCUUAUGCCGUUGAAUAUAUUAGCAUGGAAUAAUAAGAUAGGACUUUGGUACUAUUUUGUUGGUUUGCGCACCAAAGUAAUGAUUAAUAGGGACAGUUGGGGGUACUCGUAUUCCGUUGUCAGAGGUGAAAUUCUUGGAUUUACGGAAGACGAACUACUGCGAAAGCAUUUACCAAGGAUGUUUUCAUUAA
rnacentral:rRNA from 1 species